GCCCCGGGCUUAACCUGGGAACUGCAUUUGAAACUGGUCAACUAGAGUAUGGUAGAGGAAAGUGGAAUUUCUGGUGUAGCGGUGAAAUGCGUAGAUAUCAGAAGGAACAUCAAUGGCGAAGGCAGCUUUCUGGACCAAUACUGACGCUGAGGUACGAAAGCGUGGGUAGCAAACAGGAUUAGAUACCCUGGUAGUCCACGCCGUAAACGAUGAUAACUAGCCGUUGGGGGGAUUUACCCUUUAGUGGCGAAGCUAACGCGUUAAGUUAUCCGCCUGGGGAGUACGGCCGCAAGGUUAAAACUCAAAGGAAUUGACGGGGACCCGCACAAGCGGUGGAGCAUGUGGUUUAAUUCGAUGCAACGCGAAGAACCUUACCUGGUCUUGACAUCCUGCGAACUUUCUAGAAAUAGAUUGGUGCCUUCGGGAACGCAGUGACAGGUGCUGCAUGGCUGUCGUCAGCUCGUGUCGUGAGAUGUUGGGUUAAGUCCCGUAACGAGCGCAACCCCUAUCCUUAUUUGCCAGCACAUCAUGGUGGGAACUAUAAGGAGACUGCCGGUGAUAAACCGGAGGAAGGCGGGGACGACGUCAAGUCAUCAUGGCCCUUACGACCAGGGCUACACACGUGCUACAAUGGGAAGGACAAAGAGCCGCGAAGCCGCGAGGUGUAGCUAAUCUCAUAAACCUUUUCGUAGUCCGGAUUGGAGUCUGCAACUCGACUCCAUGAAGUCGGAAUCGCUAGUAAUCGUAGAUCAGAAUGCUACGGUGAAUACGUUCCCGGGUCUUGUACACACCGCCCGUCAUACCA
rnacentral:rRNA from 1 species